GAGAUUGAGGGUGAUUAGGUUAGAACUAGGAUGUUUUAGUGUAGAUCAUUCAUAUUUCCUUGCUAGUUGAGUGAGCAUAAUGCAUCUUCUGAGUUGGCCACUCAGUAGUUGAACCUUAGGCAUUCCCCCCCCGAAAGGUGUUCGAGGAAAUGCCCGAGACAACUCUUCUUAGCUUUUAGCAUACUUUGCCAAAGACAUUUGUUGUUAGAGGUGCUAAGAUAGCCAUUGGAC
rnacentral:lncRNA from 1 species